AUACGGAAGAUGCGAGCGUUAUCCGGAUUUAUUGGGUUUAAAGGGAGCGUAGGCGGAUUGUUAAGUCAGCGGUCAAAUGUCGGGGCUCAACCCCGGAACUGCCUCGCGAACUGGCGGUCUUGAAUGUACGUGCCGCGGGAGGAAUGUGAGGUGUAGGGGGGAAAUGCAUAGAGAUCACACAGAACACCGAUUGCGAAGGCAUCUCACGAACGGAUGAUUGACGCUGAGGCACGAAAGCGUGGGGAUCAAACAGGAUUAGAUACCCUGGUAGUCCACGCAGUAAACGAUGAUAACUAACCGCUGGUGCGCAAGUAUCAGUGGCCAAGCGAAAGCGAUAAGUUAUCCACCUGGGGAGUACGACCGCAAGGUUGAAACUCAAAGGAAUUGACGGGG
rnacentral:rRNA from 1 species